CAACUAAAUAAUUGGGAAAGUUGUCCUUUGCAAGCUUUUGGGUACAAACACCCUUCUUCAGGCACAGGGAGAGUGUUUUAGUUAACACAGGAGAA